rnacentral:misc_RNA from 1 species
AAAGUCGUAACAAGGUAACCGUAGGUGAACCUGCGGUUGGAUCAUUAUUGAUUUAACUUUAACUUUGAAGGUUGAGACUUUCCAAACCUUAAUAUUGAUAAGUUUCCUUUGGUUACUUGUCAAAGUUAGGGUAAAGUUGGACUCCUUUCAAGUUAAAAUUUAACACCGUGUGAACUGUAUUGUAUUCAAGUCAUUAGUAUUAAAAUACUAUUGAUUUGGACAUAAAUAUUUUGCUUUUGGAAUGUAAAUUUCAAAGCGAAAUAUUUAUAACAAACCCCUUUAACAUUUGCCUUAGAAAUUUUUGUAAAAAGAAAUUAAAAACAACUUUUGACAACGGAUCUCUAGGCUCUC